GACGAACGCUGGCGGCGUGCUUAACACAUGCGAGUCGAACGGAAAGGCCCUGCUUUUGUGGGGUGCUCGAGUGGCGAACGGGUGAGUAACACGUGAGUAACCUGCCCUUGACCUUGGGAUAACUUCAGGAAACUGGGGCUAAUACCGGAUAGGAGCUCCUGCUGCAUGGUGGGGGUUGGAAAGUUUCGGCGGUUGGGGAUGGACUCGCGGCUUAUCAGCUUGUUGGUGGGGUAGUGGCUUACCAAGGCUUUGACGGGUAGCCGGCCUGAGAGGGUGACCGGCCACAUUGGGACUGAGAUACGGCCCAGACUCCUACGGGAGGCAGCAGUGGGGAAUAUUGCACAAUGGGCGGAAGCCUGAGGCAGCAACGCCGCGUGCGGGAUGACGGCCUUCGGGUUGUAAACCGCUUUCGCCUGUGACGAAGCGUGAGUGACGGUAAUGGGUAAAGAAGCACCGGCUAACUACGUG
rnacentral:rRNA from 1 species